rnacentral:rRNA from 1 species
GACCUCGGAUCAGGUAGGGAUACCCGCUGAACUUAAGCAUAUCAAUAAGCGGAGGAAAAGAAACCAACAGGGAUUGCCUCAGUAACGGCGAGUGAAGCGGCAACAGCUCAAAUUUGAAAUCUGGCCUUCGGGUCCGAGUUGUAAUUUGCAGAGGAUGCUUCGAGCAUGGUCUAGUCUAAGUUCCUUGGAAUAGGACGUCAUAGAGGGUGAGAAUCCCGUAUGCGACUGGGUGCCUAAGCUCAUGUGAAGCUCCUUCGACGAGUCGAGUUGUUUGGGAAUGCAGCUCAAAAUGGGUGGUAAAUUUCAUCUAAAGCUAAAUAUUGGCCAGAGACCGAUAGCGCACAAGUAGAGUGAUCGAAAGAUGAAAAGCACUUUGGAAAGAGAGUUAAAUAGCACGUGAAAUUGUUGAAAGGGAAGCGCUUGCAAUCAG